UACGGGGGGGGCAAGCGUUGUUCGGAAUUACUGGGCGUAAGGGGCUCGUAGGCGGCCAACUAAGUCAUACGUGAAAUCCCUCGGCUUAACCGGGGAACUGCGUCUGAUACUGGAUGGCUUGAGUUCGGGAGAGGGAUGCGGAAUUCCUGGUGUAGCGGUGAAAUGCGCAGAUAUCAGGAGGAACACCGGUGGCGAAGGCGGGUCUCUGGGCCGAUACUGACGCUGAGGAGCGAAAGCGUGGGGAGCGAACAGG
rnacentral:rRNA from 1 species